UACGAAGGGGCUAGCGUUGCUCGGAAUCACUGGCGUAAGCGCACGUAGGCGGCUUGUUAAGUCAGGGUGAAAUCCUGGAGCUCAACUCCAGAACUGCCUUUGAUACUGGCAAGCUUGGAGUCCGGGAGAGGUGAGUGGAACUGCGAGUGUAGAGGUGAAAUUCGUAGAUAUUCGCAAGAACACCAGUGGCGAAGGCGGCUCACUGGCCCGGUACUGACGCUGAGGUGCGAAAGCGUGGGAGCAACAGG
rnacentral:rRNA from 1 species